UUGUUGCAUCAACCCAACCAGAACAAAUUCCUCCUAUUGCGUCAACUAUACCAGAUUCUGAUUCUGAACAAUAUAUAAAUAUAAUCAUAUUGACAAUAUAAUAAUGUUAUAAUGUUCAAUAUAAUGUUCAAACAAACAUCGAGUGAAACUGAUAUCACUACUGGUAUCGAUAUUUGACUCGAAUCGCCCAAUGGAGGUUAUCAGCCAAUUAGAUGCGCUGGGGGGCGGGGCUUAUCGAAAACACGGAAGUUUGAAAAGCACUUCCAGCUGUGAGCCGCUAAAUACUGACGAGGGGAUACCGGAAGUACACGUUUAUUGUAUGUGACUUGACACGGACACCUGGCAGGUAUCUGUUCAUGUGUUCAAGCCUCUUUUAGCUAGUUAGCAUGCUGCUAACGUGACAGACAGAGUCUGAAUGAAACCUGCUGGUCGUUUGCGUGAUGGACGUUCUUCAAAAAGUCAUAAGGAAGAGUCAUGAGUGCUGACAACACUGUACACUGUAAGGGCUGGAUUCCAAUAAGAGUUUGACUUGCCCUCCUUCCUCGAGCCACUUGUUAUGACGUCACUGGAUGUGGAUGUGAGAGGAAUGGAAAUGAUAAAUGGAACGCACCUUCUCUUCUUCACUUUCAGCCCAAGCAGUGCAUUCUGGGUAUCUCUCAAGUGACUCGCUCGCUCAGCCGUCCAAAGGUAGAUUUCACCAAGUUUACUCCAUCUUUUCGAGGGAAAUGGAACGACACGUGAGGGCAAGUGCGGAGGGCAACUGUGUUGGAUAAUAAAAAAAGUAAUAAAAAAAGAAUAAUAUAAGAAGAAUAUGUAUAUUGUUGAGAUGUCUGACUUGUGGUUAAUGAUGACGAUGAAUAUACCAGUAAGUACACCAGACUGGCGGAGAUAGUCUACCCAUUUUAAAAUUCUUUCAUGCAGGUAGAAAAAGUAAAAAAAAUAACAAAAAAAUAAACAUUCACAAAAUGGAGCUUAAAAAAAAAAAAAAAAUCCACAGCGGAUUUAUCCUUAACUCUUCAUCUUUCUGCUUGAGCUGGCGCUCAGCGUAAACGUCUUAUCUCGCCAUUUCCACACGCGCUCAUUGAAGAAGGGAAUCCAUUCCCGUACAGUGCUAUUGUGUCAGUGUGCAAAAUGAAUAUAAAUUGCAUCAAUUUCCACUGAUAAAUGCAGCGACAUUGUGCCGUGGAUGCGGGAUUAGUGUAUAAUUGGGAGGAAAUGUCAGGGAUAUGUUACAAUAUGCAACGCCGCACUAAAUAUGCGUCUUGCUGGGACAACGCGUUCUGCCUCCCAAAAAAGCUUAUGGAAACUUUGGAUGGACUUGAGAUGAUUGACAGCUCUCGCUCGUCACUACGCCCACGCGUGAUUGGAGGAAAAACAUGUCCCGCUUCAGGAUGGAAUUGGACUAAGCACCUCACAUGUCACCUUGUACAAACUAUCACAGAAUGUUUGCUAUAUGUCGAGGAAUGUUAACUAUUAGUUUUUAAUAGAUUGUUGAGUGAGACUUCAAGAGCGCUAACUCGUAAAGUUCGCUUUCCUGCAUGUCAUAACAAAAAAAUUAAGAGUUUGAACGACUGCACGACUUAAAGAUAUGCUAAGUAUUAGCAAAUUGUUGUGGAGCAAAAACCUGGCUCGCUUUGUUUUGCUCAACCAAAACCAAAAAAUACAAGCUGUGCAAUAUACACUACCGCUCAAAAGUUUGGGAUCACUUGCAAAUUUCUUUGUUUUCUAAAAAAAAAACAAAAACAAAUUUUCAAAAUUUAAAUUUUCAUUU